UAGGGAAUCUUCGGCAAUGGACGGAAGUCUGACCGAGCAACGCCGCGUGAGUGAAGAAGGUUUUCGGAUCGUAAAGCUCUGUUGUAAGAGAAGAACGAGUGUGAGAGUGGAAAGUUCACACUGUGACGGUAUCUUACCAGAAAGGGACGGCUAACUACGUGCCAGCAGCCGCGGUAAUACGUAGGUCCCGAGCGUUGUCCGGAUUUAUUGGGCGUAAAGCGAGCGCAGGCGGUUAGAUAAGUCUGAAGUUAAAGGCUGUGGCUUAACCAUAGUAGGCUUUGGAAACUGUUUAACUUGAGUGCAAGAGGGGAGAGUGGAAUUCCAUGUGUAGCGGUGAAAUGCGUAGAUAUAUGGAGGAACACCGGUGGCGAAAGCGGCUCUCUGGCUUGUAACUGACGCUGAGGCUCGAAAGCGUGGGGAGCAAACAGGAUUAGAUACCCUGGUAGUCCACGCUGUAAACGAUGAGUGCUAGGUGUUAGACCCUUUCCGGGGUUUAGUGCCGUAGCUAACGCAUUAAGCACUCCGCCUGGGGAGUACGACCGCGAGGUU
rnacentral:rRNA from 1 species